CUUCACUUCAGCACAAGACAUGAAGUUCUCCUCCCGGGAAAAGCCUUUCUCUGUCCCUAGGCUGGAUAACAGUAGACUCUCAGAAAUCUUUGCCAGAGAUGCAAACAUGAAAGAGAAACUCAUCGAACAUUUUGGAGCAGGACCAGUCAAGUUCUCAUCGGAGUGCAAAACACACUUUCAUAGAGUUUAUCACAACACGAGGGAUUGCUCAACACCAGCAUAUUACAAAAGAUGUGCGAGAUUGCUAACACGAUUAGCGA